UUUUCGGGCUGUUGGUGUUCGGCCAGGGCUCUUUGGCUACAGUAGCCUGGGCCCUAAAGGCCAUCUAGUUGCUGAGUCUGUUUGGGGUUUUUACUUGGUGAGAAGAAGGCCUUGUCAUUCCAACAGUCGAUGACUCGCUUUGAUCAACUCCUGCCCAGGACUAGGCCUGAGCCCUGUCGUCGUACCGGCGAGGAUGUGCGUCUCCCCUGCCUUCAGGCUGUGCCCUGAGACCCAGUUGUGGGGCUGCCCAGCACCUGCCAUCCUGCUGGGAUCAGGUUUUCUUAGUGCUUGAGAAGACUCAGGAGGGCCUGUCCCAUGCCAUUGUUGGCCUUAAGAGCAAGUGAUUCCAGAAGAGGAGUGGGCACCACUCUCAUCCAGAGGCCCGUCCUGAGAGAAUAGCAUUCCUUUCGAACACCACGGCAAGUAGCUGCUCGUCUCCCAUCGGAAGGCAGCACUGGAUUCCUGGUCGGGUGGCUUCCAGUGGUCUUCAGUCUGUCGUGCACCGAUGAGAACUCUCCUUAUUGCUGUGAAGGGCAGACAAUGCAUGGCUGAUCUACUCUGUUACCAAUGGCUUUACUAGUGACACGUCCCCCGGUCUAGGAUCGAAAUGUUAACACCGGGAGCUCUCCAGGCCACUCACCCAGCGACGCUCGUGGGGGAAACAUACUAAACGGACAGACUCCAAGAGCUGCCACCGCUGGGGCUGCACUGCGGCCCCCCACGUGAACUCGGUUGUAACGGGGCUGGGAAGAAAAGCAGAGAGAGAAUUGCAGAGAAUCAGACUCCUUUUCCAGGGCCUCAGCUCCCUCCAGUGGUGGCCGCCCUGUACUCCCUGACGAUUCCACUGUAACUACCAAUCUUCUACUUGGUUAAGACAGUUUUGUAUCAUUUUGCUAAAAAUUAUUGGCUUAAAUCUGUGUAAAGAAAA
rnacentral:lncRNA from 1 species